GAUCUCAGAUGGAGCGAGAAUACCCCUGAAUUUAAGCAUAUUAAUAAGGGGAGGAAAAGAAACUAACAAGGAUUCCCUUAGUAACGGCGAGUGAAGCGGGAAAAGCUCAAACUGAAAAUCGGGAACCCAAGCGGGUUUUUGAAUUGUUUGCUAGAGACGUGUUGUCAGCGUGUGACCUAGAUUGAAAUCUCUUGAAACAGGGUAUCAUAGAGGGUGAGAAUCCCGUCUGCAAUCUGGAGUUCGCCGCGUACGACGCAUGUUCAUAGAGUCGAGUUGUUUGGGAUUGCAGCUCUAAUUGGGUGGUAAGUUUCAUCUAAAGCUAAAUAUAGGCGAGAGACCGAUAGCGAACAAGUACCGUGAGGGAAAGAUGAAAAGAACUUUGAAAAGAGAGUUAAAAAGUACUUGAAAUUGUUAAGAGGGAAGCGCUGAAAUUCAG
rnacentral:rRNA from 1 species